rnacentral:rRNA from 1 species
GUUGGGCUGUUCGCCCAUUAAAGCGGUACGCGAGCUGGGUUCAGAACGUCGUGAGACAGUUCGGUCCCUAUCCGUCGUGGGCGUUGGAAGUUUGAGAGGAGCUGUCCUUAGUACGAGAGGACCGGGAUGGACACACCGCUGGUGUACCAGUUGUUCCGCCAGGAGCAUGGCUGGGUAGCUACGUGUGGAAGGGAUAAGUGCUGAAAGCAUCUAAGCAUGAAGCCCCCCUCUAGAUGAGACUUCCCAUCAUUUUAAAUGAGUAAGAUCCCUCAGAGACGAUGAGGUUGAUAGGUCCGAGGUGGAAGCGUGGUGACACGUGCAGCUGACGGAUACUAAUCGAUCGAGGACUUAACUUAA